AGAAUGUUUCCAAAAUCGUUUCAGUGGUUCAUCAACUAGUAACAGUUGAUGAACCACUUUUGCAUUCGCUUUGCUGCUCUCUAUUGGCUCCAACCGCACUAUGCAAGUUUUCCAGAUCGGAGCGGAUAUGUAGUUCGAAUGAGACAUAAGAAACUACACAGAC